rnacentral:miRNA from 1 species
CCGGCUGUGUCCUCUCACCUAGG